GAUGCAGCCAUGCCGCGUGUGUGAAGAAGGCCUUCGGGUUGUAAAGCACUUUCAGCGAGGAGGAAAGGUUGUCGGUUAAUACCCGACAGCUGUGACGUUACUCGCAGAAGAAGCACCGGCUAACUCCGUGCCAGCAGCCGCGGUAAUACGGAGGGUGCGAGCGUUAAUCGGAAUUACUGGGCGUAAAGCGCAUGCAGGCGGCCAAGUCAGUCAGAUGUGAAAGCCCCGGGCUCAACCUGGGAAUUGCAUUUGAUACUGCUUGGCUAGAGUCCUUGAGAGGGGGGUAGAAUUUCAGGUGUAGCGGUGAAAUGCGUAGAGAUCUGAAGGAAUACCAGUGGCGAAGGCGGCCCCCUGGCAAGAGACUGACGCUCAGAUGCGAAAGCGUGGGGAGCAAACAGGAUUAGAUACCCUGGUAGUCCACGCCGUAAACGAUGUCUAUUAGGAGUCUGUGGCCUUGAGCUGUGGGUUCCAAAGCUAACGCAUAAAAUAGACACGC
rnacentral:rRNA from 1 species